GAUGAACGCUGGCGGCGUGCCUAAUACAUGCAAGUCGAGCGAACAGAUGAGGAGCUUGCUCCUCUGACGUUAGCGGCGGACGGGUGAGUAACACGUGGAUAACCUACCUAUAAGACUGGGAUAACUUCGGGAAACCGGAGCUAAUACCGGAUAAUAUAUUGAACCGCAUGGUUCAAUAGUGAAAGACGGUUUUGCUGUCACUUAUAGAUGGAUCCGCGCCGCAUUAGCUAGUUGGUAAGGCAACGGCUUACCAAGGCAACGAUGCGUAGCCGACCUGAGAGGGUGAUCGGCCACACUGGAACUGAGACACGGUCCAGACUCCUACGGGAGGCAGCAGUAGGGAAUCUUCCGCAAUGGGCGAAAGCCUGACGGAGCAACGCCGCGUGAGUGAUGAAGGUCUUCGGAUCGUAAAACUCUGUUAUUAGGGAAGAACAAAUGUGUAAGUAACUAUGCACGUCUUGACGGUACCUAAUCAGAAAGCCACGGCUAACUACGUG
rnacentral:rRNA from 1 species